UACGUAGGGUGCGAGCGUUGCUCGGAAUUACUGGGCGUAAAGGGCGCGUAGGCGGAUAUCUAAGUUGGGGGUGAAAUCCCGGGGCUCAACCUCGGAAUUGCCUUCAAAACUGGAUAUCUUGAGUUCGGGAGAGGUGAGUGGAACUCCGAGUGUAGAGGUGAAAUUCGUAGAUAUUCGGAAGAACACCGGUGGCGAAGGCGACUCACUGGCCCGAUACUGACGCUGAGGCGCGAAAGCGUGGGGAGCAAACAGG
rnacentral:rRNA from 1 species